rnacentral:rRNA from 1 species
UACAGAGGUCUCAAGCGUUGUUCGGAUUCAUUGGGCGUAAAGGGUUUGUAGGUGGCUCGCUAAGUCGGGUGUGAAAUUUCGGAGCUUAACUCCGAAACUGCAUUCGAUACUGGCGUGCUUGAGGACUGGAGAGGAGACUGGAAUUCAUGGUGUAGCAGUGAAAUGCGUAGAGAUCAUGAGGAAGACCAGUGGCGAAGGCGGGUCUCUGGACAGUUCCUGACACUGAGACACGAAGGCCAGGGGAGCAAACGGG